CAAUGGGGGUAAUGGGGACAAUGGGGGCAAUGGGGACAUUGGGGGCAAUGGGGACAAUGGGGACAAUGGGGGUAAUGGGGAUAAUGGGGACAUCAAGACCUUAAGGGACAUUGGGGACAAGGAGAUCCCAUCCAACAUGGCGGACCAAGAUGUCUCCAUCAUGGCGGCCAUAUUGGACCAUGAUGUCCCUAUAAUGGCGGCCAUAUUGGACCAUGAUGUCCCCAACACAGCGGCCAUAUUGGACCAGGAAGUGUCCAACACGGCGGCCAUAUUGGACCAAGGACGUCCCCAUCAUGGCGGCCAUAUUGGAUGGUGACGCUGGUGGCAUCACCAUCACAGUGACAGCCCCCCCAUUGGAGGAUGAGCCCGGUGACGAUGACGUCAUAGGUGAUGACGUCAUCACAGCCAACCAAUCACGUGGCGUUGAGGAGAGCGAUGACAUCACAGCCGUGCUUCACGAUGAUGUCAUCCCCGAGGGUGACGUCACUUCAAAGAUGGCGGCUGGUGACGUCACUGCUGACCUCACUGAAGUUGAUGACGUCACUUUAAAGAUGGCAGCUGGUGACGUCAUUGUUGAUGAUGUCAUCGCUGCGGGUGAUGUCACUUCCUGUCAUCCUGGGGGUGACUGGAGUGACAUCGCUGAUGACGUCAAAAGUGGUGAUGACGUCAUAAGUGCUGAUGACAUCAUCCGCUCCCUCCCCAUUGGUGACCAGGCUGAUGACGUCACCCCCAGAGGUGACGUCACUGAUGACGUCAUCACAGACGAACCAAUCGCUUCUUUAUAUGGGGACGGCCGCAGCCAUGACGUCAUCCCAGUUGGUGACGUCAUCGAUGACGUCAUCACGGGUGAAGCCGUCCCUCCAUUACACGUGGAUGCCUACGGCGAUGACGUCAUCCACACAGGUGACGUCAUUGAUGACAUCACACAUAACUAUGACGUCACGGGCGACACAUCGCAUUGGGAUGACAUCACUGAUGACGUCAUCACAGGGGAAACCAUCAUGGCCGACCCCGUCGGCGACGUCAUCAAUGGGGACGACCUCACUGAUGACGUCAUUGAUGUCGAUGACGUCAUCAAUGUUGAUGACAUCAUCAAGGACGACAUCAUCAAAGACGAUGACAUCAUCGAUGACGUCACCUAUAGAGAUGACAUCACAGCCCCGAUUUCGACCUGUGACGUCACACCUGAGGGUGAUGACGUCACUGAUGAGGUCACGUGGAAGGAUGACGUCAUCAGUGACGUCAUCAGCCCCACAGAGGAGCAGCCGUUGUGCCCCAUCGAUGACAUCACGGAUGACGUCAUGGCCGCCCACAGGAGGGGCGGGGCUACAGGUAGGGGGCGGGGCCAAUGCAAAUUAAGGGGUCGGGGCCAAAGUGAAGUGGGCCUUAUAUGGCUAUGGGGGCGUGGUUAUGCUAAUGAGGGUCCUGUGGGGGCGUGGCCACGCUUAUGGGCGUGGCUACGGCAAUGGGGGCGUGGUCAGCUGCAUGUGGGCGGGGCUAAGGGUAGGGCUGAGCCAAUGAGGUUAAUUGGGGGCGGGGUCAGUGCCUUUGUGGGCGUGGCCAUUUGGGUCGCCAUGUUUAGUGGGCGGGGCUAACGAGAAGGGGGCGUGGCCUCAUCAAAGUGGGCGGGGCUUAUGGGGUUUGUGGGUGGGGCUUAUGGGGUUUGUGGGUGGGGCUUAACAUUGUAGGAGGGGCUUAUAUGUUUAUGGGCGUGGCUUAAUGUUGGGGGCGUGGCUUAUUGGUUUGUGGGCGUGGCUUAUGGGGUUUGUGGGCGGGGCUUAUUGGCUUUGGGGGCGUGGCUUAUGUUGUUUGUGGGCGUGGCUUGACAUUUGGGCCUUGGCCUGUUGGGUUUGUGGGUGUGGCUUGUGCGUUUGUGGGCGGGGCUUAAUAUUGGGGCGUGGCCUGUGGGGUUUGUGGGCGGGGCUUAUGGAGUUUGUGGGCGGGGCUUAUGGGUUUAUGGACGUGGCUAAUGUUCUUUGUGGGGGGGCCUUAACAUUGUGGGCGUGGCUUGCAGGGUUUGUGGGCGGGGCCUAUGGAGUUUGUGGGCGGGGCUUAUGAAGUUUGUGGGUGUGGCCUAACAUUGUGGGCGGGGCUUAUGCCGU
rnacentral:lncRNA from 1 species